rfam:Oryza sativa (indica cultivar-group) chromosome 3, whole genome shotgun sequence.
AAAAAAUACAACCAUAAGUUUUCGUAUCCAAUUUUAAUCAUCCAUCUUAUUUAAAAUCUUUUUAUAAUUGAUAUUUUUAUUAGAUUAUAAAACAUGAAUAGUAUUUUAUGCGUGACUCAUAUUUUUGGUUUUUUUAAAAAAAAUUUAAAUAAGAUGGACGAUUAAAAUUGGACAUAAAAACUUAUGGCUGCGCUUAUU